GGAGGAGUGGCAGAGCGGUCGAAUGCGGCGGUCUUGAAAACCGUUGAGGGUGCAAGCCCUCCAGGGGUUCGAAUCCUCUCUCCUCCGCCA
rnacentral:tRNA from 1 species